AGUCGACUGCAAGUAUGGCAACAUAUUCACACAUAUAAACAAGUGGUGCAUUUGUAUUGUAUGUAUAGGUAUGUACAACAGAAACACGUUACACUCGGUUUUAAAGUUGUGCAAGUGUAUUUUAUAUAUAUAUAUUUGCAUGUAUGUAUGUAUAUAUACUGACA